CCAGGCCGCCCCGUUGUGUGCCCUGAACUGUGGGCCUUUUCCCAACCGGCCACUGUGGGGGAGCAGCCAUUGUGGGUCCCCUGGUCUUAGAGAGGUGGUCAAGGAUGGGGCAGGGAUAGAGAUCAGCAUGAAGUCAUGCCAUGGCUAGAAGAACAUGAAGGGCGAGCAGAAGGACAUCUCUCAGAGCUAGCCCUCAUCUCUCACUCUCAGCACCAAAGCCGAAGACCACUACAAUCCACAGCCCAGCACGGCCACCAUCACAUCUUGGCUGAUCAGCUCAAGACAGGUCAAUAUCAAGAUGUUCAGGAUGGAUCUCUGGAGCUGAAGACAAUGAGCCCUCAAUGACUCUUGGGGUCUGGCCCCAGCACUCGAGGGCUAGGUCUUGAGAUAACCAACCUCUUGUGUGUAUGCUUUCUUCAGACACUCUCCAACCCAAUCCAGCAGAGAUGGGUGGGGUGGCACCUCAUUCAGUACCAGAGCUAAUGUCCAGAGAACAGAGAGCUAUGGGAUACGGGGUCAACCAGUGGGGACAAGAUGGGGCCUCAUCACCCCAGGGAGCGCUAGGACUACCUUGUAUGCAAGGAACCUUUGGGAACAUGGCAGGGAAGAGGGACUGCCUAGGUUCCUAGAUCCUCUUCAUGCCUCAUCUUGACCAAGUCUCUUGAGAUGAGGCCUCCUUCAUCCAAACAGGACUCUUCCUGGUCUCAACCAGCCAUGGGCAGACCCAAUCCCUAGAGCUCAGCCACUUCUGGAGACAGCCCUCCCAUUGUCUACUACCUUGGGACCCCUUUCCGUCUCAUCUCCCCAAGUCUCUUGGGUGGGACUUGCAAGAGAGGAAAGUGGGUCCAGGAUCCCCAGCUCAGGUUCACCUAUCCCACCUUACCCCACACCAGCACAUGGAUUACCUUCUACCACCCCCCAAGACACAGAAAUAUCUUUUCUUCCUCAA